GUUUAACGGCCGCGGUACUCUGACCGUGCGAAGGUAGCGCAAUCACUUGUCUUUUAAAUGGAGACCUGUAUGAAUGGCAUAACGAGGGCUAAACUGUCUCCUUUUUCAAGUCAAUGAAAUUGAUCCCCCCGUGCAGAAGCGGGGAUAAGCACAUAAGACGAGAAGACCCUAUGGAGCUUUAGACAAAAAGCAGACCAUGUUAAACAAACCCAAAUAAGGGCCUAAACUUAGUGGGAACUGCCCGACUGUCUUUGGUUGGGGCGACCACGGAGUAAAACAAAACCCCCGUGUGGAACAAGGGCAUCCCCCUUUAAACCCAGAGUGACAACUCUAAUAAGCAGAAAUUCUGACCAAACAUGAUCCGGCAAAGCCGAUCAACGGACCGAGUUACCCUAGGGAUAACAGCGCAAUCCCCUUCUAGAGCCCAUAUCGACAAGGGGGUUUACGACCUCGAUGUUGGAUCAGGACAUCCUAAUGGCGCAGCCGCUAUUAAGGGUUCGUUUGUUCAACGAUUAAAGUCCU
rnacentral:rRNA from 1 species